rfam:Schistosoma margrebowiei strain Zambia genome assembly, scaffold: SMRZ_scaffold0002252
GCACUACUGAAGAGUCCCAUAAUAGGACGAGAUGGUCGUCCAGUGC